ACGCCAAUAAUUCUUUUCUUCUUCUCCGGUAAUUAGCUCAGCAAUCAGGAAUGGACGGCUAGAUCCCUUUUUCCUAUGUGCCCGAAUAUCAUCAUGACUGUUUUGUUUCCUUUCUUGUGUACGAAACGCGUUGAUACACGUCUCAGCAUGAAGCGGUGUUUUCCAACGUAUUAUCGCCUCUGUUUCGUCCUUCCUAUAGUCUAUAUACAUGGGCUCACAUGCAAUAUUCUGAGUUUGCCGCGAAAAAACAUAACUCAAGAGGCUGUGAAUAGUAGAUUUAUUAGUUAAAGGAUGGAGGUUCUUGAUACGGGUCAAAAGAUUCUUGGUAAAAUCCAAAUUAUCUUCAUCUUUAUCAGUUUGUGAGGUUUUGGAUACAGACUUGGUCAUUUGUUUUUCUACUUUAGUAAGUUUGGGAUAACGAUUUUCAGGAAAGGAAUUGGAUGAAUUUGAAACGUCUGAAGAUGACGCUUUUACUAAAUGGAGUUGAUUUUCAAAAUAUUUUUCUUCACGAUUUGUCCAUUCUUUACGAGUCAACAGUACCCAUCCAGGAGGGACAGGCAACUUGCUAAGUGCUGAUUGAUCAACCUUUUUGUACAAAAUUACAAAAGCAUAACCUUCAGGAGUACCGAUAGCAUCAACAUAGGGAAGGAACUCUUUGAGGUAUUUGCGAAGUUUCCCAGCCAAAAGUAAACUUUUAUUAGACAGAGUAGCCGGAACUGGUUCAACGUAAAUAAUUCUAUCAUACAGUGGUAUGUCAAGAGGAAGAACAAUAUUCUCAUUUCUAAUAACCAUGUGUGAGGAAUUAUCGAAAUGAAACAGCGCAUUAGUAACAUAAGAUAAAGCAUACUUCAAGUUAUUUUGCGUUGGAUUCGGGCGGAUUCCUUUCCAGAAAUCAUCUUGCUGGAUUAAAAAGGCCAAGUGCACUUUUUCUUUUUGCCUUUCUCGGUGAAAAUAAAUUUCUAAUAUAGAAUCAACGGCUGAUAAAAAGUCAGGAUUUAACGGUUCAAUAAGCUGUCUAUCUUGUUGAUUUAACAUGAGUCCUCCGCUUAUGGAAUGACUUGGUUCUUUGCUGGCUUCAUUAUGUUUGUAAUGCUCAUCUUUCAAUUUGUUGUUAUUUCCAUCUGCAAUAGAAUUAUUUUCCUUCCCUGUAAAUGCUUUAAUUUUGCGAACAUUCAGUUGCCUUGGCACAAACAU